AGCGAACGCUGGCGGCGUACCUAACACAUGCAAGUCGAACGAGGAUCAUCUGUGUAGCAAUACAUUGGCGGUCCUAGUGGCGCACGGGUGAGUAACACGUGGGUAACCUGCCCUCGAGCCUGGGAUACCCCCUCGAAAGGGGGGCUAAUACCGGAUACGUUCCUUGGGUCGAAAGAUUCGAGGAGGAAAGGUGGCGCAAGCUACCGCUCUUGGAGGGGCUCGCGGCCUAUCAGCUAGUUGGCGGGGUAACGGCCCACCAAGGCUAUGACG
rnacentral:rRNA from 1 species